rnacentral:rRNA from 1 species
CCUACGGGAGGCAGCAGUGAUGAAUAUUGGUCAAUGGACUAGAGUCUGAACCAGCCAAGUAGCGUGAAGGAUGACUGCCCUAUGGGUUGUAAACUUCUUUUAUAAAGGAAUAAAACGAGGCACGUGUGCCUUUUUGCAUGUACUUUAUGAAUAAGGAUCGGCUAACUCCGUGCAAGCAGCCGCGGUAAUACGGAGGAUCCGAGCGUUAUCCGGAUUUAUUGGGUUUAAAGGGAGCGUAGAUGGGUUGUUAAGUCAGUUGUGAAAGUUUGCGGCUCAACCGUAAAAUUGCAAUUGAUACUGGCAGUCUUGAGUACAGUUGAGGUAGGCGGAAUUCGUGGUGUAGCGGUGAAAUGCUUAGAUAUCACGAAGAACCCCGAUUGCGAAGGCAGCUUACCAAACUGUGACUGACAUUGAUGCUCGAAAGUGUGGGUAUCAAACAGGAUUAGAUACCCGUGUAGUC